GCCCCUGUAGUUCAAUGGAAAGAACAGAAUCCUCCUAAGGUUCGGAUAUAGGUUCGACUCCUAUCAGGGGCA
rnacentral:tRNA from 1 species